ACCUAUGGCCAUAAUACCCUGAAUGCGCCUGAAAUCGGCUGAUCUCAUGAUCUCGGCUGAUCUCAGAAGCUAGGCAGGGUUGGGACGGGCUAGUGCUUGGAUGGGAGACUGCCUGGGAAUACCGGGUACUGCAGGCU
rnacentral:rRNA from 1 species